rnacentral:rRNA from 1 species
UGGGGAAUAUUGCACAAUGGGCGCAAGCCUGAUGCAGCCAUGCCGCGUGUGUGGAGAAGGCCUUCGGGUUGUAAAGCACUUUCAGCGGGGAGGAAGGCGAUAAGGUUAAUAACCUUGUCGAUUGACGUUACCCGCAGAAGAAGCACCGGCUAACUCCGUGCCAGCAGCCGCGGUAAUACGGAGGGUGCAAGCGUUAAUCGGAAUUACUGGGCGUAAAGCGCACGCAGGCGGUCUGUCAAGUCGGAUGUGAAAUCCCCGGGCUUAACCUGGGAACUGCAUUCGAAACUGGCAGGCUAGAGUCUUGUAGAGGGGGGUAGAAUUCCAGGUGUAGCGGUGAAAUGCGUAGAGAUCUGGAGGAAUACCGGUGGCGAAGGCGGCCCCCUGGACAAAGACUGACGCUCAGGUGCGAAAGCGUGGGGAGCAAACAGG